UACAGAGGGUGCGAGCGUUAAUCGGAAUUACUGGGCGUAAAGCGCGCGUAGGCGGCUUUGCAAGUCGGGUGUGAAAUCCCCAGGCUUAACCUGGGAACUGCAUUCGAGACUGCAUUGCUAGAGUAUGGGAGAGGGAAGUGGAAUUUCCGGUGUAGCGGUGAAAUGCGUAGAUAUCGGAAGGAACGUCAGUGGCGAAAGCGACUUCCUGGACCAAUACUGACGCUCAUGUGCGAAAGCGUGGGGAGCAAACAGG
rnacentral:rRNA from 1 species